rnacentral:rRNA from 1 species
UAUCGGUGGAUCACUCGGCUCGUAGGUCGAUGAAGAACGCAGCCAACUGCGAUAAUUAGUGUAAACUGCAGAAACCUUGAACACGAAACUUUCGAAUGCACAUUGCGCCAUUGGAAUUUUAUCCUUUGGCACGCCUGGUUCAGGGUCGUAAUACGAAAACGC